ensembl:lncRNA
AAAAAAUACAUUUAUUGGAAUCUGUGUCAAUGUAGAAAAAAUUGAAAACUGGCUUUAGGUUUUGUCACAGUACCACAGGUGAAUAUUCCAGCAGGCGCCUGGUGAGCCGAAACGAAGCCAGCUAGCUUGUUUGGGGCAGUACAUCUGUUACUGAUGGCGACAGAGAAGGUGGCCUAUGGCGGCCUGUGAUACCAAACACACCGUCUCACAGACACUGAAAAGCUCGGGCUGCUCCUAAGACACACCACCAGCAAAUGCACAUGUUGUACAGCAAUUAACCUAGACCGAUGUUCUCUCGGUUUAAUGUGGGAUGAUUUCGUUGUGAUACUGUUACAAAUCCCUUUCCAAUAACUAUAAAGCCAGGGCCGCUGGCUGCUAGCAUCCAAGGUGGCUCAAAGGAGCUUGUAUUGUAUGAUCAAUUGUGGGCCAAUGUUUUAUAACCCAUAAGCUGAACCCAUAACAUCCCAUUUUGUCCCAGUCCCUGGCAAUAACUCCAAUGGCCCUGUGCAAAGCUAUGAGGUUCAUGCAUCAUCUUUGAUGUCUACCAUUGCCUUCCUUUACUGUUCAAAGCCUUGCCAUUCAACCAGAAGGACUGUCACAUUAAUAUUUUGCUUUCUUUCUCUGAAUUUCUUUCCUUAAUUCAGGUCUGUCUGAACAAGCACUUCUAUUAUAACGACACCGUAAGUGACAAAUACUAUUCUGGCAGGCCAAACGUUAUAAUGGGUAGUGCAUUUCUAUUUCUGAUAUGACAGGAUAAGUCUCACAACACACGGCGAGUCUGCAUACUUUAUGAAGUCGACAGAAAAAAAAGGCAUUUGAAAACAAAAAGGACAUUUCUAAACUCAGAUACUGAGCAUUAUAACACUGAGAGGUCAGUUUUUUCCCAUACAACUUUCUUUUACAUAGACUUAUUUUAUUCUUAAAUAUCUUAAAUCUCAUAAAAAAUAAUUCAUCAGAAACCAAUUCUAUAUACACGGACAAAAAGUGCACGAGAUGGAUAGAGAGGUGGUGCGCAUGCUGAGGUGGUUUCGCGAGAGUGGGCUUUGCUGUGAGAUUAUGCUUUGGAUGUUGUUUUUUUUAUGAAGUGUUGGCUGGUCUGAUGAAAUGUAUGAUUUGUUUUGUCUGGAGCAUUGUAUUAAAUAUUAUCAUUCAUAAAACAAACAAGCGCUUCUAAAUCAACACGGAGACUCUUUUGGCUUCUCUUUCGAGAGGCAAUUCUUCAAAGAGAGUGUGACCUUCACGGUUUAAAAAAACAAAAAAAGAAAUGAUCCACAUUUCAUCUGUUAGCAGUCCUGACAAAAGCUGUCACCAAAGCAGGACAUAUGAUUUUACUGACUGGACUCCUGAAUAAAUGUAAGAAUAAAGGGAUAGCUUAUGGUUUAUCUCAUUUUCUGUAAUACAUAUAUUGUUACAAUGUCCAAAGCAAUCUUGAAACCUCUCUAAAUGUUUUUUUUCUAGUGUCAACUCUGUUUGAUUCAGUGAGGGGGGUAUCAGCUUUGGCUAUUACUUUUGGCCACACAUGUGCUGUUUCUGAAGGGCAACCAAUCAGGAGAAAACUGGGUGUUCUGGGCUAAAGCAGUUGCCCAG